AAAGUGCAGUUUUCCUCCGCUCCUCAAGGCGGCAGAAGCGGGUUCUCCUUCAGUCUGACGCUUCUGCUGCUUGACAACAUGACGCUUGAUGACAAUCACAACAACACGAGCAGAUCCUGCAGAUGAGAAGAUGACAGCUCUUAAUGUCACUUUAACAGCACAUAUUACAGCUCAACCGCAAAUAAAACCGACGCAAUCAAACGACACAUAAAUGAGGAACCGAGUACGGCACAAGACUCACCUAAGGAAUUUGUUUGGACCAUUACAUCCAGUCAUCAGAAGCAGAGCUGUGGGACGUGUGGACAGACAUUGACUGUAAUGAUGGACUUCUGCUGAUGGACAGAUCCCAGUCAUAACAGGAAGUAGAAUAAAAGCAGGAAGCAACAGGAGAACGUCAGAGCUUCACACAAGACACAACUCCUGCUGACUCUCACAUACACCCAGAAAACACUGCAAUAUCAACUGAGUCCUUCUUAUUACACUUUACAGUGUGAAUAUCAGAGGGCGAUUCAUUCAAAGAUUAAAAAGGUAACGCUACAAUAGCGACUGACAAGAGAACUUGACUUCAUGCUAAAGUAAAAGUUACUUACAGGAUCUGCUCGCGUUGUUGUGAUUGUCAUCAAGUGUCAUGUUGUCAAGCAGCAGAAGCGUCAGACUGAAGGAGAACCCGCUUCUGCCGCCUUGAGGAGCGGAGGAAAACUGCACUUUACUCUCGUCGGGUUUUGGGGCGAGAUCACAUCUGAGACUUUGGAUUAAAGUUCCUGUAAAAUUACAGCAGCAACAUGUUUGACAAGCUCUGUGGUGCAGAAAAUAAUGAUUUCCUUUGAAUGAGAAAGUCUAGUUUUUUGUAUAUAUAUAUAUGUGUGUGUGUGUGUGUGUGUGUGUGUGUGUGUG